ACGACACAGGAGGAGCAGAUCUGAAUGAGAUGGGAGACACGCACACUCAGUAAGAACUCACCGCUGGAAAGGAAAUGAGACCAGCCAUGGCAGGCAGGAUCUCCAAACAGGACGAGACCAAAAUCCAGGAGAACCUCCCAUGCCCCCACGCUCAGUGAAAUCAGAACAGCUGAACUGCUUUUUCUUCUUAAAAUCUGAAAACAGAUCCAGAAUGGAAAAGCAGUGUGAAGCAAUACCCUACAUGGCUAUUCUGAACACAUCACUCAUAGUGUGGUCAACUUGGCUCUCAAUGAGCUAUGAGCAACCUGUGUGUUUUAAUUUUGCUUUUAACUUUAUCUUUAUGGUAUCUGUAUAGAUGUUUUUCCUGCUGGUGUGUCAGUAUUCAAAGUCCAGAGUCCAGAGGGGGCGUGGGAUCUUCCAGCUCUGAAGUUAUACAAAAUCGUUAGCUACCAAGUGGGUGCUGAGACUAGAACCCAGGUCCUUGAGAAAAGAAGCUAAUACUCUUAACCACUGAACCACCUCUCCAGCCCCAAGUAAGAGCAAUUUUUUAAACAUUAAAUAUUUUGUGACUGCUUUUUUUUUUUUUACUCACUUCAAAGCUUCCUCAAAUUUAUGGAUCUUCCUCUGAGCAUCUUCCUUCUCUUUAUCAAGUUCACUCUGUAGAUCAUGAACCUACAUGAGAGAAUUCAUGAAAUUGACUGGAAGAUAAGGAUACUAAAAACAACAAUCUCAAAUCUGUUGUGAUAUGAAUUCAGAAAUACUUACAAAUUUCAUAAUAGAAACUUACUUAUCCAUAGUAUAAUUUCAAUAUUCUACUCCCAAUAUUAAUUUUCAGUUCAACACUAGUAAUUAGAUUGUCUUAAAAAACACUUGGUAUACAUCAACUUCACAAAGCAUCAAUCACUUUGACAAAGGAAAGACAUUUCACAUGCUUGAGAAGACUAGGAUAAAUACUGUGUGUGCAUUGACCAGAUAUAGAGCGGCUGUUAUAAAAUCUUCCUUCACUAAGCAUGAUUUGUGCAUCCAUUGACCAAGUUUGGCGCAUACUUCUUCAUCCCAGUUGCCUCCUUCCUGCAUGUAGCAACCCUUGAGUGGGUGGAUGACAAUAUCAACCACAAAGGUGAAGAAAAUGUUUUUCACAUAUUCAGAUCUGCAGUACGGAUACUCAUGUGCACAUGAUGGCGAUCGUAAAAUAUGGAAAAGAAAGUUUGAACAGCUGGACAGAAAGGGAAAAGCGAAUGUCUUAUAUUUGUAGCCACACUGCUAGUAAGGCUGCAGAGCCUCCCUGAGGGUUAAGAAAGCACUCCACUUGGUAUAUGAAAAACCACUUAGACCUGCUGGCCACCACCAUAGGACCGAAUAUGAAUCUGCUGGACAGUGAGGCAAGAAAGAAUGACAAGAAGUGCACAUCACACAUGUACACAUAUGCACACUCUAAAACCAUGUCACACACUGCAUCAGAACUAGGCAAAAGUAGAUUUUUAAAAUCAGUUUGGUUGGACCUAUUUAAUUCAAAUCCCACAUAUUUUUGGCCUUUCUUUUUUAUAAUUAUUUUGAAUUUUUCCCUUUGUAUAAAGCAAAUAAAUUAGUAAAAUCAACAAUAUUCUUUUAAACUAUACUGAGGCUAGAGAGGCAAGUUUUCAUGAUAAUAUCAAAAAGCCUUUCCAGUUUCUCAGAUGGCAAACCACUAAAUCAAGACAGAAGUGAGAGGCAGAGAAGACAACGCAUGCUGAGGCAGUGACUGGCCAGGAGAAUUGGCAGACACAAGCCCCAAUUCUUGGCACUGUAAUGAUCAACUUAAAAUAUGUCAUAAAUACUAUUUUCUUAUGACGAGAAGGAUUAUCUCAUCUUGAAAUUUUUUACCAAUAAAUUUAUUUUACUCUACGUAGGAAAAGCAGUCUUUUCAUAAUUUACCAGGCUCAGACUUCAAUUCCUAUCUUACUUAUAGAUCCUUGAUAUGUAUUACUCUGUUUGGCACAGUGUGAGAUUCUUGAAUUGGAAUAGAAACAAACUUUACUCAUUAAGUAUUUGGAAGCAGAAAGCAACUCUAGCUAGAAAGACAGGAUAAGUUUCAAUGGUCAGCUCCCUACUUCUCAAAUUAUUUAGCAUGUGUGUCUCAGGCCUCACUACAAAUGGGAUCAACGAGAGCCAUACUAAGAUUUCUGGUAAAGUGAAUUACUUCAGGCAAAGUUCUUGUGAAUACUAAAACAUAAAAAAAUUCUCAAUGUUAAACAUUACAGCUACAGAGUCAGAUAGAACACUGUACAUAUCUCUCGAUUACAUAAGGUCAUUAGGACUAACAGCCAUGAUGUGCACAGUACACAAGGCUGUCUGCCCUUGCAGAAAGCAGCCCUAAGAUGCCAAGCAUUCUGAGUUCUUGUAAGUGCUCUGUAUUGCUCACUACCCAAUCUUAACUUGUUUCAAGAUUCAAUUCUACUAUUCUACUACUUAGUGAAUUUAAGUAGUUAAUGAUGGUUAGUGAGUGGCACUUUAAUUUCUAAGACUAUCUGCUCCAUUUCUGAAGGGAGAGGGAACUCUCAGGGUGGGGAAGGAGGACUCACAUCUAGUCAAGAAGGCAUGCACUGAUGGUUUCUCACUUAUGCUACUAAGUGCCCAGCAUAUACAGCAGUCACUAAGGGAUGUUCUGGGUUUGUUUCCUCUUGACAGAAUAAUUUAGUAUUGCAUGCUUGAGAUUAUUGCAUCCUUUUAAAUUAUGGCUUUGUUUUGAUCUAUAUUUCAUAUAUUUAUCAGUAAUAUAUAAUUAAAUACCAUGCAAGUAAUCAAUGCAUACUGAUUUUGAUGGGAGACUACAAUUUACUAUUUGUGUUUUAAUAUUAUAUAAAUCAUUUUUACACAAAAGAGAAAUAAAAAACAACAAAAAGAUGAUGCUACUGCCU
ensembl:antisense